rnacentral:hammerhead_ribozyme from 1 species
GUACUGCUGAAGAGUCCCAAACUAGGAUGGAGGAAACAGCAGCUGUCCAGUAC